rnacentral:rRNA from 1 species
CCCAACUUGAAAAUCUCCCUUUGGAGAAUUGUAGUCUAGAGAAGCGCCCUCUGCGGCGGCCGGAGCCUAAGUCCGUUGGAAAACGGCGUCAGAGAGGGUGAGAACCCCGUCGGCUCUAGGCUUAGCUGCUCCACGAGGUGCUUUCCACGAGUCGGGUUGUUUGGGAAUGCAGCCCAAAAUGGGAGGUACAUCCCUUCUAAGGCUAAAUACUGGCGAGAGACCGAUAGCGAACAAGUACCGUGAGGGAAAGAUGAAAAGAACUUUGAAAAGAGAGUUAAAAAGUGCUUGAAAUUGUUGAGAGGGAAGCGUUUGGAGGUUAUAGGUGCGCCUAGGCUUAUACNAUUCUAACGAGCCGUUGUAUGUGCUAGGUGCUGGUCAACAUGGGUUAGCCUGGCGGGAUAACAGCGGGGGUUGAUACCCCGUCUAUGCCGCCGGGUUGAUCAAGGUGUGAAUGGCGCUCUGUCCUUCGGGAACUGC